CAAACCUUCUUUUUAAAUUAAAUACCAUAGUCUAGUAACUCCAGCAGGUGAUCGACAAACAAAUUCCAUCUCUGUUCCUUUAUCCUGUUGUAUGCACAAGGUAAAACAGGGUCAGAAAGUUUUAAGCAUUGUGCUCAUUCGUAAUAUGUAUCUUUAUUUCAGAUGAUGAUGAAAAAACUCUUUUUGUCAAGAACUUGGCAGAGUCUGUGACUGAAGACUCCUUGAAGUCUUUCUUCUCUGACACUGUAGAAGUCAGACUUCCUUCCCGUCCAGAUGGCGCUCACAAAGGAUUUGCUUAUGUUGUAUUUGAUGAUGAAGCCGCCGUAGAACAGAUGAUGAAUGACCAUCAAGGUGAAGACUUGGAGGGAUCAUCCUUGUUCUUGGACUAUGCUGGCAGUCGUGGAAGCAAAGCAAAAUCUGCCAGAUCAGACUAUAGUGGGGGAAGUGGUGGACGGAGGUCUGGUGGGGGAAGCGGUGAAAAGACUAAGGUUCUUUUU